rnacentral:rRNA from 1 species
GCCUAGGAAUCUGCCUGGUAGUGGGGGACAACGUUUCGAAAGGAACGCUAAUACCGCAUACGUCCUACGGGAGAAAGCAGGGGACCUUCGGGCCUUGCGCUAUCAGAUGAGCCUAGGUCGGAUUAGCUAGUUGGUGAGGUAAUGGCUCACCAAGGCGACGAUCCGUAACUGGUCUGAGAGGAUGAUCAGUCACACUGGAACUGAGACACGGUCCAGACUCCUACGGGAGGCAGCAGUGGGGAAUAUUGGACAAUGGGCGAAAGCCUGAUCCAGCCAUGCCGCGUGUGUGAAGAAGGUCUUCGGAUUGUAAAGCACUUUAAGUUGGGAGGAAGGGUUGUAGAUUAAUACUCUGCAAUUUUGACGUUACCGACAGAAUAAGCACCGGCUAACUCUGUGCCAGCAGCCGCGGUAAUACAGAGGGUGCAAGCGUUAAUCGGAAUUACUGGGCGUAAAGCGCGCGUAGGUGGUUCGUUAAGUUGGAUGUGAAAUCCCCGGGCUCAACCUGGGAACUGCAUCCAAAACUGGCGAGCUAGAGUAUGGUAGAGGGUG